UAAGAGUAAUGGACGUGGAACGUGCCUAGUAGCGGGGGAUAACUACGCAAAGUAAAGCUAAUACCGCAUACGCCCUUCGGGGGAAAGCGGGGAUCUGGUUCGCACUAUUAGAGCGGCCGAUAUCGGAUUAGCUAGUUGGUGGGUAACGGCUCACCAAGCGCGACAUCCGUAGCUGGUUUGAGAGGACGACCAGCCACACUGGGACUGAGACACGGCCCAGACUCGCAUGGGAGGCAAGAAAAUUUUGGACAAUGGGGAAACCUUGAUCCAGCCAUCUCCGCGUGUGCGAUGAAGGCCUUCGGGUUGUAAAGCACUUUUGGCAGGAAAGAAACGGCACGGAUAAUACCCAGCAACCGAUUUAUACCGCAGAAUAAGCACCGGAAGACCACGUGCCAGUGUCGGCGUAAUACGUAGGGUGCAAGCGUUAAUCGGAAUUACUGGGCGUAAGCGUGCGCAGGCGGUUCGGAAAGAAAGAUGUGAAAUCCCAGAGCUUAACCUUGGAACCAGACGGAAUCAAUUGUUGAUGUGUCAGAGGAGGGAAUUCCGCGUGUAGCAGUGAAAUGCGUAGAUAUGCGAGGAACAACGAUGGCGGAAGUGUAGCCUCCUGGGAUAGCAUCGACGCUCAUGCACGAAAGCGUGGGGAGCAAACAGGAUUAGAUACCCCGGGUAGUCCACGCCCUAAAACGAUGUCAAUUCAGCUGCUGGGGCCUUUGCCCGCAGCAUAACGCGUGCUGACCGCCUGGGAGUACGGCCGUGAUUAAAACUGGGAAGAAUACGUGACCCGCACAAGCAGAUGAUGAUUACCAAUUCGAUGCAACGCGAAAAUCUUUGGCUCUACCUUGAUACGUCUGGAAUCCUGAAGAGAUUUGGGAGUGCCUGCAAGAACCGGAACACAGGUGCUGCAUGGCCGUCGUCAGCUCGCCGUGAGAUGUUGGGUUAAGUCCUGCAACGAGCGCAACUCGGCUGGCGCUGGUUGCUGCGAAAAGGGGCACUCUAAUGAGACUGCCGGUGACAAACCGGAGGAAGGUGGGGAUGACGUCAAGUCCUCAUGGCCCUUGCGGUAGGGUCACACGUCAUACAAUGGUCGGGACAGAGGUCGCCAACCCGCGAGGGGGAGCCAAUCCCAGAAACCCGAUCGUAGUCCGGAUCGCAGUCUGCAACCUGACUGCGUGAAGUCGGAAUCGCUAGUAAUCGCGGAUCAGCAUGUCGCGGUGAAUAUGUUCCCGGCCCGUACACACCGCCCGUCACACCAUGGGAGUGGGUUUUACCAGAAGUAGUUAGCUCAACUCGUAAGGAGGGCGAUUACCACGGUAGGAUUCAUGACUGGGGGUGAAGUCGUGUAACAAGGUAG
rnacentral:rRNA from 1 species